rnacentral:lncRNA from 1 species
CGGGCUGUUAGUUUUCGUUUUUCGUCACAUCUAGUCAGGAAUGGGUUUUAAUAGCAUUUUACAUGAAUACAUAUGUGUAACUCAUGGCUGAUUCACGUUCGUUUGUCUUUGGUGGAUAAGUUUCUAAUUGGCAAUAUUACCACAUAUCUUCUGAAUUUUCAUUGCAUCAUCUAAACAUGUAAAAUUCGUAUAUAGAAAAUAUAUACGUAUAGAUAAUAUAUAUAUAAUAUAAAAAAGUAGAUGUUGUAUGAUUGCCAAUGAGACAACAGUAGUGUUUGUGGGACAGAAUGACCCCCAUUAAGGUGGACGUCGGACGCUGACGCCAUAUUCGAAAGUUGGCGCAGACGCCGACGCCAUAUUUGGGCCUUAAAGCGGACGCCAUAGUCGACCCUGAAAUCAAGACGCAAACUUCGGGUUGGACCAUGUUACUCGGACAUCGAGACGCCGACGCCAUAUUUGGGCUUAAAUCCUGGACGCUAUAUCUUAAUGUUUGACCAGGCUACCCUCCAGGGUGGAUACUUUUAGUGACCCUAGAAAGAGUUUUUCAAGACUUGAGACCUGCUAUACAUCCAUGUAGGUGUUUUAAGAUUUUUUUUCUUUUCUUCUGUUUUUUUUCUUUCUUUUUUCAUUAUUUUUUUUUGUAUCAUUAUUUUUCAUUUAACCAAAUAGGGCUACGAGUUUACUGUCAUUCUGAAUCGUGUCAGUGGAUGAAAAGUUGUUGAUAAUGUCCUUCAUCUCGAGUCCCGACAUCUCAAUUUGACGUAAUAAAUGCAAUACAGGCCACAUGUAUCUGAAUCAUCGGGUUGGAUUUGAU